AAUGAAAAAAACAAAAACAUCCAAGACAAGAAAAUGGUUUGGUUUUGUGAGUUAUGAUAACCCAGUAUCAGCCCAAGCUGCUAUUCAAGCUAUGAAUGGAUUUCAGAUCGGUAUGAAACGAUUGAAAGUUCAACUGAAGAAGUCCAAAGAUAAACCAUACUAAUCAUGUUACAAUCUGCCAUUGUUGACAAAUAACGAUGAACCUGUACCUUGUACUCCUGUUUACUGUGACGUCUGCAUUUGUUUGUGACACGUUGCCAUGGCAUCACCAUCGUGACGUCACAUCACAUGUCGUGUCCGUCCUGCCCUGUUCGCUACGUCACAUGUUUACAAAAAAAAAAAUUAUAAUCACAUUGCAUCGCAAAGUUAUACAUGUAAUACAGCGUUAAUGGUAGAGCCUCAUCGUUCAUUGUCAACAGUUCAAAUACCUCCACGUUCUGGUUUUUGAAAUGGAGUGCCAUUUGCAUGAAUUGUUCUCAGAAAAUUUACAGUGAAAUAGAGAAAAAAAAAAUAGAGACCAGAAAAAUGUACGGAAGCCUAGUAUUGUGUUAUGUUCUGAACAGCAAGUAUGUUUCAAGUUUUACUUACAAACUAAAUGUUGUUACUAGUUUUUUUUCCUUGA